ensembl:lncRNA
UAGGGCUUGAACUGGCUCACCUGGUUCACCUAGUCUAGGGCUUGAACUGGCUCACCUGGUUCACCUAGUCUAGGGCUUGAACUGGCUCACCUGGUUCACCUAGUCUAGGGCUUGAACUGGCUCACCUGGUUCACCUAGUCUAGGGCUUGAACUGGCUCGCCCGGUUCACCUAGUCAAGGGCUUGAACUGGCUCGCCUGGUUCACCUAGUCAAGGGCUUGAACUGGCUCGCCUGGUUCACCUAGUCAAGGUCUUGAACUGGCUCGCCUGGUUCACCUAGUCAAGGGCUUGAACUGGCUCACCCGGUUCACCUAGUCAAGGGCUUGAACUGGCUCACCCGGUUCACCUAGUCAAGGGCUUGAACUGGCUCUCCUGGUUCACCUAGUCAAGGGCUUGAUAAUUAGUUGAUAUGAGAGAGGGGAGAUUAGGGUGAGAAUGAAUGGAUUCUAUUUGACUCCCUCUCCAAUACAUUUACUGCCAGAGAGACUGUUGGAGUAAGAGAUUCAUCAUGAUUCAUCUUGUCAAGGGCUUGAUGAUUGGUUGACUAAUGUAAUCAGGUGUUCUAGCUCUAGAGUAGAUGAAAUCCAUUCGUCUGCGGGUCCCCCAGGAGAGGUCUGAACUCCUGUUUUGGGGGAAUAGAUUUGUAUCUCUUGGUGGCAUUUCUUGACAGAUGGCGUCUUUUCAUGUAUCUAUUCUAGGGUUUAGGUAUCAUGGGUUGGUUUCAUGGUUUUGGAUUCUGAUCAAAUCAAUAGGAAGUAUUGCCACUGAUCAAUACCCAUAGUGUGAUAAUACCCAUAGUGUGAUAAUACCAGUAGUCAUUGGUUUAGAAGAGAAACAACGCUAUUGGAAUGUAUAGAAAUAUAAUCUAUAGAACGGACCUUCCCAUUCAAGUCAAUGCUGAUUCCAUUGCUAUGCUUGAAUGGUCUUUACUUUUCCAGGAUGCCUACAGUAACAGGGUGGAGGGAAGUGUGAGUGAGAGGUGUGUGUUUCCGCUAGUGUGAAUGACUUAGCUAACUAGGUGAACUUUUUUGUACAGAAAUGGUUUGGAACUAAUGACUUGCUGUAGGAUCUGGGCUAUGUAUGGUGUAACUGUUGGAUUGGGUACUAUGUAUGGUGUAACUGUUGGAUUGGGUACUAUGUAUGGUGUAACUGUUGGAUUGGGUACUAUGUAUGGUGUAACUGUUGGAUUGGGUACUAUGUAUGGUGUAACUGUUGGAUUGGGUACUAUGUGUGGUGUAACUGUUGGAUUGGGUACUAUGUGUGGUGUAACUGUUGGAUUGGGUACUAUGUGCGGUGUAACUGUUGGAUUGGGUACUAUGUAUGGUGUAACUGUUGGAUUGGGUACUAUGUACGGUGUAACUGUUGGAUUGGGUACUAUGUGUGGUGUAACUGUUGGAUUGGGUACUAUGUGCGGUGUAACUGUUGGAUUGGGUACUAUGUGCGGUGUAACUGUUGGAUUGGGUACUAUGUACGGUGUAACUGUUGGAUUGGGUACUAUGUGUGGUGUAACUGUUGGAUUGGGUACUAUGUGUGGUGUAACUGUUGGAUUGGGUACUAUCAUGAGAUAGGAUGUUAGCACAGUAACCAUGGGAGAUAUAGGAUUUCAUGUUAAACCCAUAGUACUCCUCUUUACUCAGUAUUAUACCCAACAUGUAUCGUUGCCACCUGUUGUUGAUGCAGUAAGUGAGAACUAUCCAGAAACUCAUAUAAAGCUGUUUAAUUGAGCAAAAGAAUAUCAACUUUGGCUUUGUAAUUAUUUAUGCAUUUAAAUGGAAGAUCACUCACCUCAAUAUAGGGACCAUUAUUUCUCCUUCACAACAGGAGCUAGUUUUAUGUUUAAAUCAUGUAGUUUUAUAUUCAAGGAAUACCUUUAAGAAAACGUUAACCCUGGACAGAAUCUUCUAAAACUACAACCAGACUUAGUGUGCUAUACAUUUGUCAUGUGUGUGUUAUAUUUCUGAACAGUGUUCUAUACACAAUGUAUUUUCUACGUGAAUAACUUUCCGAGGUAAAUAAAGUAUGUUUUCUUCCAGAUAAACGGAUCCCUGUUUGUCUCUGUAGAUGUAAUGAAGGUGUUAUGACUGUGUGAUCUGGUAUGAAGACGUCUCCUGGCUGGAGACGCGCCGGGGCCUCUUCGCUCCCUGUGUCUGUGUGGUGCAGCCUGUGUCUGUGUGGUGCAGCCUGUGUCUGUGUGGUGCAGCCUGUGUCUGUGUGGUGCAGCCUGUGUCUGUGUGGUGCAGCCUGUGUCUGUGUGGUGCAGCCUGUGUCUGUGCAGCCUGUGUCUAUGUGAUGCAGCCUGUGUCUGUGUGGUGCAGCCUGUGUCUGUGUGGUGCAGCCUGUGUCUGUGCAGCCUGUGUCUGUGUGGUGCAGCCUGUGUCUGUAUGCUGAUGACUCAACACUAUAUACACGUCAGCUACUACAGCAGCGCUCAGCAAAGAGCUGCACUAAGUUUCACAAUGGGGCGGCAAGAAAUAAGUUAGUCCUAAAUGAUUUAGAAAACUAAAAGCGUUGUAUUUGGGACAAAUCAUUCACUAAACCCUAAAUUGAGCAAGUUGGGGAGACUAAACCGCUUGGAGUAACCCUGUAUUGUAAACUGUCAUGGUCAAAACAUAUAGUUUUGUCCGGUCGGGUGCACGUAGUCAUAAUGAGCAUUACAGUUGUCCCAGAAUGGGGGGGGGAGGGGGGAGGGGGUGGCAGCAUGGCACGGCUGGCUCUUAAAUGUACACCGAGAGCCAACAUUAAUACUACGCAUGUCAAUCUCUCACGGUUCAAAGUGGAGGAGAGAUUGACUUCAUCAAUACUUGUAUUUGUGAAAAGUAUUGUUGAAUGCAGCAAGCUGUCUGUUUAAACUACUAGCACACAGCUCAGACACCCAUACAUACCCCACAAGACAUGCCACCAGAGGUCCAGAAGAGACUAUGGGAGGCGCACAGUACUACAUAGAGCCAUGACUACAUGGAACUCUAUUCCACAGUACUACAUAGAGCCAUGACUACAUGGAACUCUAUUCCACAGUACUACAUAGAGCCAUGACUACAUGGAACUCUAUUCCACAGUACUACAUAGAGCCAUGACUACAUGGAACUCUAUUCCACAUUAAGUAACUGAUGCAAGCAGUGAAAUCAGAUUUAAAACCUAGACAAAACUACACCUUAUGGAACAGCAGGGACUGUGAAGAGACACACAUGCACACACACACAUGUACAGUGUGUUGUAGAUAUGUGGUAGUAGAGUAGUGGCCUGAGGGAACACACUGUGUUGUGAAAUGUAAUGUUUUUAGAAUUGCAUAUAACUUCCUUAAUGUUGCUGGACCCCAGGAAGAGUAGCUGCUGCCUUGGCAGGAACUAAUGGGGAUCCAUAAUAAACCCCAGGAAGAGUAGCUGCUGCCUUGGCAGGAACUAAUGAGGAUCCAUAAUAAACCCCAGGAAGAGUAGCUGCUGCCUUGGCAGGAACUAAUGAGGAUCCAUAAUAAACCCCAGGAAGAGUAGCUGCUGCCUUGGCAGGAACUAAUGGGGAUCCAUAAUAAACCCCAGGAAGAGUAGCUGCUGCCUUGGCAGGAACUAUGAGGAUCCAUAAUAAACCCCAGGAAGAGUAGCUGCUGCCUUGGCAGGAACUAAUGAGGAUCCAUAAUAAACCCCAGGAAGAGUAGCUGCUGCCUUGGCAGGAACUAUGAGGAUCCUUAAUAAACCCCAGGAAGAGUAGCUGCUGCCUUGGCAGGAACUAUGAGGAUCCAUAAUAAACCCCAGGAAGAGUAGCUGCUGCCUUGGCAGGAACUAAUGAGGAUCCAUAAUAAACCCCAGGAAGAGUAGCUGCUGCCUUGGCAGGAACUAAUGAGGAUCCAUAAUAAACCCCAGGAAGAGUA